rnacentral:miRNA from 1 species
GUGUGGACCUGGGUGGAGCCACCACAGGCGUAGACCUUGUAAAUAUUCAAAUAAGAAUUUGAAGGCUGAAGUGGAGAAGGGUUUCAUGUG